rnacentral:rRNA from 1 species
CCCUGCUCAAUGGAUAACUAAAUAGCCGCAGUACUUUGACUGUGCAAAGGUAGCAUAAUCAUUUGGCUUAUAAUUGAAGUCUGGAAUGAAUGGGUAAAUGGAUAAUAACUAUCUACCAUUAAUAAAUUGAAUUUACUUAUUAAGUGAAAAUUCUUAUAUAAAAACAAUAGACGAGAAGACCCUAGAAAUUUUUUACAUAUAUAUUAAAAUAUUCUAUUUUGUUGGGGCGACAAGGUAGCAAUAAACCUACCUAUAAAAUAUAAAAAAUUACUGAAAUAAAUAAUUAAAUUACUCUAGGGAUAACAGCAUAAUACAUAAGAGUUUGUGACCUCGAUGUUGGACUAGGUAAACUAAUGUUUAAAAGAUAUUAA